GGCAAUGGCAGAUUGGGACCUACCACUGGAGGUAUGGGUAGCCCUGAAAUCGGAGGAAGGGGUAGCUUAGGGACGGUCACUGGAGGAACGGGUAGCUUAGGUACAGUUACCGGGGGAACGGGUAGCUUAGGGACUGUCACUGGAGGAACGGGUAGCUUGGGGACGGUCACUGGAGGAACGGGUAGCUUGGGGACGGUCACAGGAGGAACGGGUAGCUUAGGUACAGUCACUGGUGGAACGGGUAGCUUAGGGAUGGUCACAGGAGGAACGGGUAGCUUAGGGACGGUCACCGGAGGGACUGGUAGCUUAGGGACGGUCACCGGAGGAACUGGUAGCUUAGGGACGGUCACCGGAGGAACUGGUAGCUUAGGGGCUUUAGGGGAGUGCUUUCCGCCCUUCCGUGGGUUGCAAGAGCCGCAUGCGAGAGAAUGUUGGGGGAGAUAGAUAAUGCAAAUGAGGAAGAGGCAAAGAGAGAGAGAUGAGAGUUUGGAGGAGUCCAUGUUGAGUAGAGUGGAUGGUGUAACUAUACGAAAGAGUAUAUGAAUAUAUAGAGGGAAAAUGAGAAGAAGAAUUCACGUGAAGAUGGGGGCUACUUCUGCAAUAAGAAGAGACGCCCCAAAAUAAGCAUGGUUGGCAAUUAUCAUAAGAAUACAAGAUUUCCUUGAUGACCCAUCGCUAUAUAUCAUCACAUGUCGACCACACUUUUUUCACUUUUUUUUUUCUAAGUGCCUCUUGUUCUUGGGUUAACUACAACUUUUAACAACGUGUAACUUCAGUUUCAACAGUACAGUACAUUUAACUUGUAGGAAUUGUAAUGAAUCAACUUAGCGAGACUAGGUCAUUAUGAGAUAUCAUCAAUACUAAAUAACAUUUUGAUGAUGUAAACACUCUAGGAAAAGCAGAUAAUAUAGUAUCAUAUGGUUUUCGCUUUAGUGUGUGGCUUCAUAAGCAUCUCCAUGCAUGAGUCGACUGCUAAGGAACAUAUAGAUCUGCACCAUAGUGAAGACGGCUUAGUCUAUUCAAAACACUAAUGUUGUGCCUUUCGAGGACCUCCCGAGACUCGAAUUCGAAUGCACUCUCCAAAGGUAUUAUGUUAGGGAAAAAACCUUAUUAAACCAAAUAUGUUACUGUUUAACCCAUACACGAAAAUUAGAUAUAUAAAUGUUGAACAAAUAGCAUAUAGUUAUAUCCAAUAUAUACGUACAUGAGAGGUAAAGAAGACAGCAAGACUGACAUGUGAAAUUCGGGAUACACUUUUGUUGUUUGGUGAUUUUGUUACGUAGUGUCAUUAAAGAAACGAUCAUGUGUGCGUGGACCAUCUUCUUCUUUUUACCGCUCAUUUCCCUUUUUACCAUAUCUACUACAAAAGAGUCCGAACUGACCAUUUAAUGAACGAGUACCAUUCAAUUCAUAAACUCCCCGUAUCAAUCUAACUGACACUGUAAAAGUUAUAAUGUUAAUAUAUAAAAAUAAUAUGGUUAUUUAGCAUGAAUAAUAACUUUUUAUAAUUGAGAGUAUGUCUAGCUAACAUUGGUGAUUGGUGCUUACAUAAAUCAUAUUUUUCAAACCACUUAACAAGAACUUUACAUAUUCAAUGAUAAACGAAUCACAUUUAUACAAUAUACCAUUCAAAAAUAAUAUUGUAAGAUGAUUUGAAAUUAAACGAUUGUAAUAUAUAAUGUGUUAAAAGUAAUGUAUUAUAGAUAUCUUGUAAUUAUUUAAAGGGUUUUGUGCAAAAAAAAAAACCACUAACUCAUACAUUUUUCCAAUUUACUAUCCAGCUCUAAUAAAUGCACAUUAAUCCUAUGAAUCUAAAAUAAUACGCAUUGUAACCCUUUUUGACCAUUUUUUGCUACCAUCAAUUUUGUAAAAUAUUGAUAUAUAAUAUGUUAAAUCAAAGCUCUCGCGACCAAGAGUUCAACUCUACCUUUAAAAAUUUUAAAAUGUAAUGUAUGUAACCGUAAAAACGCUUGUAAUAUGCAUAUGAAAUUUAUAUUACAUAUUAUGUUAAACUUCAUAAGAUUAAUCUGCAUUUGUUGGUAGUGCAUUUGUUAGAGGUGGAAGGUAAUGUUGCAAAAAUAGAUGAGUUAAAAGAUUUCUUUUUGCACAAAACCCUUUAUUUAAACUACUAACAAUAUAAUAUAUAAAUAAUUUAAAACAUAUAUCUCUAUAAUUCAUGAAGUAAUAAUGGUGUACCCUAUCCUUACCAACGAAUAAUAAAGAAAUGAUAUUAACUCUGAUUCAAAAGCUAUAUAUAAGAUAUUCUUUUUUUUUCCUCGGGAGGGAUACGAAUCCGGUAACAUGAAUCAGUGUCCAAUAAGAGCCAGUGGUCGUAAAUUCCAAAUGACAGAUGGAUGACUCAUUUUAAUUCGUAACUUUUGUCAGCUGCGAUAUAUGCUAAUGAAACCUGAGGUGCUAGAUUUUGAUUUUAAUGGCUUUAGAUUCUUACUCAACACUCAAUGGCCCACUCGUUAAUCUCUUACCUUCUAAAGUGAGUUAUGAUCCACUGCUUCUUUCUUCUUGUAGAUAGAUGGACCUGUUUUUUUUAGGUUGUGAUUUGUGGACAUUAAUCAACAACCCAUGUUUAUACGUGAUAAUGUCUGGAGCUAUAUGUAAAGGCGAUAUGGAGGACAACAUUCCUCUAUUCUAACUUUAAAAGCCAUGUAGUUAGGGCUGGACACCAAUAUUCUUUUUUUUUUUGCUAAAUUGUAAAUAUCAUUUUGAUGAAAAAUCAGGUUUUACAACAGUUGUAUAACCUAAAACAUUUGAACUCUUUGGCAAAAAAGAAUAAAAAAACGAAGAGCCAAUCGAGAGCUGCAUAGAACUCGGUAGUUUCAUAGCAGCCACAACGCUAUUAACUUGCGAAAAAGGAGUCUGUUUCUUCUUGAGGUGAUAACGUUUUUGAUUUUGCGGUUGAUGCACUUGAAUAUAGAAUGCGGAGAGAGGGAAGUAGCGUUGUGCAGGACAUUGUUAGGCUGCUUCAAGAUGUGGAAGACCUUAGACUGAACGACAAUAAUUUUAAGAACUGAUGAAGCCAAUAUUCAUCAUUUUCAAACAAAAAAUAUCUUUUGUUUGACACCAAUAUCCUUGACCAGCUUCAAACAAAGGAUAUACAUCAUUUUUAAGUCGGGUAAGGCAAAUGAGUAUAAGGAUUCUCAUUACACAUCUGGUUGCCAAAAACUUUUAGUCAAAUACUAGUUACAAUCUCAGUUUUUUACCCCAAACUUUUUGCCACUUAAAAAACUAGGGGUGGGCAUUCGGGUAAGCGGGUCGGGUUCGGGUUCGGGUAAAACCCGAUCAGGUAUAAAGAAGUUUAGGAUCUAAUAGGGUAAAUCUAAAAUAUCGGUUCGGUUUCGAUUCGGGUCCAACCGGGUUCGGAUAUAGAUUUGUGGCCUUUUUUUAUCCAGAUUUUUCGGGUAAAAUUUUGGAUUUCGGAUAAAAUUUAGAUUUUUGAAUAAAAUAUUUGGGUAUUUUCGGGUUCGAGUUUGUUUUUUCGGGUAGAGAAAUUUAGGAUCCAGUAAAGUACAUCUUCGGAUUUGGAUUAAGUUUCAGCUCUAAUUUUUCGAGUUAGUUUCGGUUCGGAUAAUCGGUUCUGGUUUUUUGGCCCGGCUCUAUAGAAAACCAUCAAUAAAUAUUUUAAUCCUAUUUCUGCCUCAUUACUCGAGAAAAUAUUCGACCCGUUUUAUUACUUGAUAAAUUUACAACUAUAUAUUUAUGUAAUCUAUUUCAUAUUAGUAAAAUAUAUUAAAUUUGUUAUUAAAACCAAAUAUCUUUUGAGAUUAGGGCAAUCAAAAGUUAAGGUCAAGCAAAUGUCUCCUUUCUAAAUGUUUUUGUGGGUAACGGUAAAGGACAAAUAUACAGCCCAUGCCCAGACCUACAAGUAGCGACUCCAUUACUACACAGUAAGAUUUUUAUUAAUAAAAAUGUGCAUGGUUUCAUUUAAAAGUCAUUGCUAACACUUCACUUUACAGUAAUAUUCAAUUUCAUACCUUUAAACGUUAAUCAGAAUCGCCAAUUGGAAGCCAGUCACUGGAAUCACCUUCCGAAUCCUUGCUAUGUCCAACUUGGCUCUUGCUGAGCUGAACCCAGCUUGACCCGCUUGCGUUUGAUGCUGGUCUUUUCAGUGUACUCCUGUUGGGACUUGGCUUCUCCGAGAGAUCAUCGACAUCUAAAUCACUAAAGGAGAUUACCUCUUCAUCUCUGAAACUCCUCCGUUGUUCUUCAGAUGACUCAUCACUUAUCUCCCUUUGCUCAAUUUUUAGAGUCUCUAUCUUGUCAAUGACUCCCUCAACGGUUUCUGUUUCCCUACUGCUACCUUCUUCAGGAGUUUCGUGACCAGUAGUGCUCUUGCUUGACCCUGUCUCUUUCUUUUGCAGCUUUAGUAAAAGUUGAUCCCUUGUUUCAAAUACCUGUGCCGCACAAUAUAGUUAUUAAAGUUUCAGAAAUAGGUACAAUAGUAACUUGGGAAAAAAUGCAGAGCAUAAAAGAUAUAAAACAAUCCAAUUUUAAAAGCAUCAGGCAAAAAUACAUUUUUUCCUGAGGCUAUACUUGUUCUUAUUGCAAUCGGUUGAAGGGGUCAUUAUAGCAUAAACGUUUACGAUUUUAAUAAUAUUGGAUCAAUACUGACAUUUCAGAAGAAUGUAUUUCCAGUAUACAGUCUUACCUUGCAUGUUGCUAAGAGUUCAAAAUCAUGCCCAUUCAGUCUCGGCAUCAGCAAAAUAAAAUAAAUCAGCCAGAAGUGUUCAUCAUCCAUGUAACUACUAACUUGAUUCUUCACAGCUACAAGGCCAGGAACCAAAUCUUCAAUGGCUGAUGCAUGUGCCCUUUGAGCCUCAGACAGUUCAAAUUCUGCAAUGUGGACAUGAAAAGUUGGAGAAAAACUUCAGCAUAAUUCAGUAGGUAAAAUUGAUGUAAACCACCAAUGCUUUUUAUCAGGAAGUGUUUCGACAACAUUUUCAAGCAAACCAAGCCUAUAUACAAAAGGUUGUACAGGAUGACGAUAUGCUUCGCAAUAAAAUAAAUAAAAAGAUUUAAGUGGCAUAUGGAUUGAACUAUAUAUAUAUAUAUAUAUAUAUAUAUAUAUCCCAAGAAGAGACUGCAGACCCCGUCAAGUUUAUUCGUAAUUCCUGGAGAUCUAUCUAAAGAACAGGGACUUCAAAAAAAAAAAUUAACUGCAGAAACAAUCAAUCUUGUCCAAACAGGUCUAGAAUAAAACACAUCAAGAGUUAAAGACUGAAGCAUAAUCAUCUUUGGCGACUGAAAACAAGUCAACUAUAUUUCCAAGAACAAUCAUGUUUAUUCCUGCAUGGCUGCAAGUUCGUCGACAAUAUCUUCAAGGUAUGAAAAAUGUGAUCUACAGAGAGUAAUGGGACCCCGAGAUCCUAAAGACCUGAGCUUGAAGAAAUAUAUCCCAAGAGGAGAUGGCAGGACCGGUCUAACCUAAUCUAAAAUACUAGGAAAUCUCUCUAAAGAACACCAGAGGCUACAAGCAAUCAACUGUACAAACAAAAAAAAUAUUUUCCUAAUAAAUCACAGUAAGAAAAUCAUAACUAAACAUAGAUAGUUAGAAACCACCAAUGCGGUGCUUCGACUAUACUUUCAAACUAACAAAGCCUAUAUACUGGGAACAAAAAUAUGCUUGAAGAAAUAUGUCCAAAUAAGCUUAAUCUGUAACCCUAGUGAUCCCACUAGAAAGCCAAUCAACUGUAGAAGCAAUCAAUCUUUUCCAAAUAAAACCUAUUUUAGUAACAAUUAUGUUUGCCUACUGGGAAAAAAAAAAGUCAAUGCAGAGCUUAAGACUAUUGAGAAUCAAGCUUUAUGAUUCCUCUAUUGACUAUACAGGAGCAUUACCAGUAUCGAGUGACAAUGGAAAAUCUGUCCAACAACCAGGUUUCGUCGAGAUUUUAACAGCGAAAUCGACUACUUCUUCAGAGAUUCCAGGAACUUGAUCGUUCAACGGAGAUCUUCUACUACUUUCUCUAUCUCUUAGAUUACUAGGAAAUUGGAGUAAAUUAGAUGCGAAAUUGGAGAAAUUUCCACGAAUCUCGGCUAGAUCGUUGCGGAUCCCGAGAAGACCUAGCUGAGUUGGUGAAUUAUCAGAGGAGAGUCGGCGUUCGUUUACAGGUGGAGAAGGAGGCGGUGCCAGGAAAGCUGCGACGCCACGGAGUAAGGAAGAUAAAUCUUCUUUGACACCGCCAUGAGUUGUGGAAGGAUCGGGAUCGGGAUCGUGAUCGUCAUCGCCGCGAGAUUUGAAGAGCCAAGACAUGGUUUUUGAGUGAGAGAGGUUGGAUUUGGGGUUUUCAGUUUUUUUUGCACGGGGUUACGAAUAGCAAGAGAGAAGAAACGGUACGUUUUAAUACCUUUCCAAAACGCACCGUUUGUUGUUUGUUCGUUUUGAUACCUUCCCAAACGUGAAAUAAACGAACAAUAAUUAUACAAAAUAAACGGAAACAAAACCUACUUUUUAAAACGGGAAAAUAUCGUUUUAUACGUGAUGUUUUUAAGAAUGGUCAUUUUAUAUGUAAACUUUUAGAUCGAUCAAAUAAAAUAUGAUAAAAAUGUUGAUCCGCUAUUUAAACAAAACAUAAAGUUUGCCUGGCCAAAAUUUCCGAAAUGUUAACUUGUAUUAACGGAUCUGAUAACCCUCGUUAGCAGACGUUAGUCGUCUUCCGUUAAUACCAAACGAUUUUUUGUGAUGAGUACAAACCUUAAAAUUCCCAAAUCGAUUUUUCAUUCCCUAAUUCUUCAUAAUCCCCAAAAUUUGAACUAUUCUCGAUAUAUUUUUUUUGAGCUCAAAAUCUCCAUUUUGUGUAGAUAUGAGUUUAAAAAAUUUGAGUGUUCAAGAAGGAGGAAGUGGGAACCUUGGGUUUCCUUCAAAGUGUCAUUGGGGGAGAGAUUUCAUCAUCUAUAUAUCAAGCUCGACGAAGAACCCAAGAAGAUCCUUCUUCUGUUGUCCAACAUAUCAAGAUGUAAGUAGAUUUGAAUUUGUUUUUUUUGGUGUUUGAUCGGUAAAAAGUUGUCGUUGUAAAUGCAGGACCAUUUGUUUAAGUGAGUCGAAGAUUGUGUGUAUGAAGAGGUUGUAGAUGCAAUACUGAUAAUCUCUAUGAUUGAUAGCUAGAUAAACAAUGUCAAAUUUCAGGUUGUAGUCGAGAUUGCAGAAUUAAAGGUUUUGAUCCAAGAAUUGAAGGAAGAUGAAAUGUGGAGCAAAAUGGAAUUGAAGAUAUGGAAAUCGAUGACCAAAUUGUGCUUGGUGUGCCUUUGUAUAACAGUCAUUGCAAUUAUGAUCAUAAUGUUCUAUAAGACCAAAAACCAUAAGCUUGUUCUUGGUUACUAGUGUUUUGUGUUUGUAAUAAAAUGUUUUUAUGGUACUGAAAUGUUUGUUUGGCAAUGAUAAUCAGUCCUAGUGUUUUGUCUUAGUGUUGUGAUUGUAAUGAAAUGCUACUAGAUGCUUGUUUAACAAUGAGAAUCACCAAAAUGAAACUCAUUCAUACAUUAUAAAACUUGUGUCACAAAGACAAGUCGAAACCACAAAAUGAAAUCGAUACUAAGCUUAUGUCAUAAAGACAAAUCCAUUAUGUCAACCACCAAAAAUAAACUUAUGAGAAAGCUUAAGUUCAAACAACAACAAAAAGAAACUUGUGACUAAUCUUGUCUUGAACACUCAAACCAUGAUGCAAAUCCACCAAGUCCUUGUGGUUGAGCAUGUGGCUCAGUUUGUGCUUGUGCUUGUGGUUCUGUUUGGGAUUGUACUUGUGAUGCUCCACCUGUCUCCCUUGGUCUUUCUGAUGUUCCGCCUGUUGCCCUUGGUCCUUGUGAUCGAAUAUGAGAUUGUGAUCCUUGAUGAGGUUGUGAUCCGUGUAUUUGCUCUUGCGAUUCGAGCACUUGAGAUCGUGAUCCUUAAUGAGAUUGUGAACUUUGAUGAGGUUGUGAUCUUAGCACUUGUGAUUCCUCCUAAGUUAAAUAUGACAGUCUGAACAGUUGCAUGAUUAAGUGAGUUGUAAAACAUAUAAAAAAAAACAAGAAUACAAACCUGAUUUAUUCGUGGAUGACCUCUUGGUCUCUUUGGUGGAAUCAGAAUAGUGGCAUUUUUGCAGCUUUGCUUGUUUGCCCUUGUUGAAGGCAGUUAGAGCAUGUCAUGAUUCUCUUUUGCAGUGGCAUCUUGUUCUUAUUUGAAGAAGAAGAAGUCUCAUUUCUUCCUUUUCUCCUAACAUAAUUACUCGGUCUUCCAACAUUUCCUUUUGUCCAUGGUGGUGGCAAAACAGGGAGCCUAUUGGUUUUAGGCCACAAUGGCAUACCUUGGACAAGGCUAAUACCAUCUUUAUAAGUUUUUCGCCAGAUUACCUUUGUGUAAAACUUGCUCACAUAGUCUGCAACUGUUUCUCUUCUUCCUAUUAUCACAGGUGUCGCAUAAAUACAUGGGAUCCCCACCAUCUACCACUUCCUGCGACCACAAGUUCUCUUCUCCGUAUCAACAUAGUAGCUAACACCAUUCACAUCAAUUUGAUACAAAUUGUUUCUGGACAUAUAUCUCUCGCAAUUUCUAACCCCAACUAUCAUUUUCUCAAUCUCAAGAUGGGCUCUCUUUGUGAACCUUGUCUUCAAUUUGUCAGCAAUGAUAUACGUCUUCGUAGUUAUGACCAUGCAUUACCUCUGGAUGUACUCUAGCUAAUCCAACAAAGGCUUUCUCCUAGCCUGUUUAAUAGUCUUAUUAAAAGACUCACACUGAUUAUUGAGGCUGUCAUUGCAACGUGUCCAAUUCUAAAGAAGGCUCUCGACCAUGUCAUUGGACUAGUAAGUUGCGAGUGGCAUGCGCAUGAGGAUUGUAUCUCUUUAGCUCUUCCAUAUUAUUCAUGAACACUUCUUCAGUGUAGCUUCAAAUUGUUUUUCAAAGAGACAUUGUAGUUCUAUCUCAUGGUUGUCUCUCUUCCAAUUGUCCAUUAUAUGCCUUGAAUAUUGUCGAUGCUCAACUUCUGGAAGUAUGGUAUUGAUAGCUUUGACUAGACCCUGUAAAAUAACACAAAAACAUAAGCGUAAACCCUUCAUAAAAGACAUUAAACUGAAGCAAAAGAUGAUAAAAUUAACUGAUUAUUUAUCUGAAAUGAUAACUAGAUGUUGCAUUUCACAGUCCCAAACUAGUAGAGAGCUGUCUCAAAAACCAGUCCCAAUUAUCAUUGUUUUCUAUCUCAACAACUGCCCAAGCUAUAGGAACAAUCCUCUUAUCUCCAUCUCUUCCAACUACAGCUAAAAGGUGACCUUUUACAUCCCAUUUUAGAAAACCCAUCUAUUCCUAUCACAGGUCUACAAGUUCGCUUCCAAGAAUCCUUUUGAGAUUUAAAGCAGAUAUAGCACCAGAGAAAAGAAUCCUUUUGUGAUAUAAAGCAGCUAUAGCAUCAGAGAAACCUUUGCUUGCUUCCAAUAAAAAGCCCUACUGUUGUCUCUAUCUCAAACUCUGUCUCUGGGUUCUACUUUAAAACCUCCGCUUGAUAAUCUCAUAUUCUUGAAAAGUGAUCAUUAUGAGUAGCAUGUCAUGCUUUCAACACUUUGGUCUUGGCCUUUGCACAUUGGUCUGGAGUCACAUCCAAAUUGAAUUCUCUCUGAAUCUCAACAACCAUCUCGUUCUUUGAAAUAUUUGGAUUCACUCUCAGCCUUUCAUCAAACAAAAGUGCAAUGGAAGACCGCUUCAACAUCUUUGAAUAUCCUGACCUAACACAAGUAUGCAUAUAAAAUCUUACUUGCAUCUUAUGUUUUGUCUUCUCAUACGAACAAUAUACUUUCCAACCACAUUUAACACCAUCAACACCAAUUUAUGACCACUUCGCAGCAACAACCAUAGAUUCAGACCCAUAAAGAGAAAUGGUAUACCAUGUCUUUAAAGAGUACAUCAAAAGAACACGCUUGAAGUCGUGUUUAUAUCCUCUUCACCGCGUAAACCACCAUUAUAAUCGUUAUCUCCACCACCAACCACAUCAUCAACGACAUUGCAGUCUUCAUCACCAUACACGGCGCAGUCUUCUUCAUUUUUCAGGGUCAGGCUCAAAUGUAGGUUCUUCAUCCUCCUCUUUUUAAUGUCUGACUCUUCUUCGUUUUUGUUUUCAAAGCCGCUUUGAAACUCGAGCUUUAACUACGAUAGAAGACUCUACUACGCCUACAGCCGGCAGAGCUAGAACUCCGUUAUCAAACUCUAAAACUGCUUCCGCUGGUGGAGCUCGAACAACAUCUUUGGUGUCAUCUUCGCCUCGUGGUGGAGCUUCAUCAUUGUCUAAUUUGCCUUCCAUUGAUACAAUCUAGGACUCCAAGGAUACAAAUUCAAGAUGAAAUCAAAUCAAAAUCGCGAUUUCGCCAAAGUAAGAAUUAGGGAUUUGGUUUUUGGAAAUUAGGGAUUUUGAAAUCAAAAUGGGAAUUUCUGUUUCAGUUUAUGAAACGACAUUGUUUUAGGCAUUAACAGAAAAAAUUAACGUCUGCUUACAGGGGUUAUCGGAUCUGUUAAUGCAAGUUAACGUCUCGGGGAUUUUGGUCAGGUCAACUUUAUGUUUUGUGUUAAAUGGCGGGUCAACGUCUUUAUCAUGUUUUAUUUGGCCGACCUAAAAGUUCACGUAUAAAAUGGCCACUUUUGAAAGUUCACGUAUAAAACGACAUUUUUCCCUUUUCAAAAACCUAAUUUAUUUCGCAUAAUUAUUGUUCGUUUUGAAAAGUAGGUUUUGAUUUAAUAUUAAAUUUAUUCGGGGAAAAAGAAUUAUACAUUUACAAGUAGGAAAAAUGGGUAAAAAAAACCUCACCUUUCCCAAAUACAUUUAAAAAAACCUCAACUUUUUGUAGGUUUUUAAACCCUCACCUUUUCAAAAAUGGUAAAAUAACAAUUAGCAUUAUUAAACCAAAUAAAUACAAAUUAAAUACUAAAUAAACUAUUAUAUUAAGACAUAAAAAACAACAUAAUUUAUAAUCUAUCUUUUCCAAAUUUGAGUUUAGGAUUUUUUUUCUUCUAGAAUUUAGUUGUUUUUUGUGAUAUAAAAAAUAAGUUUCAUUGCCAUUAGAAAUUGGUAUGUAAACUAAAACAAUUUAUAACAUAGCACAUUUUAUUUUAUUUGUGUUCAACUAUGUUCUAACCUUUGAAGUUUUGGAUUUAAAAUGGAUAAAAUUUAUUAACACAAAUUUGAUCUAAACUUGAGUGACCUAAUAUUUGUUCUAAACUUGUGUGAUCAAAACUUUAUUCUAAACUUAAGUGUCCAAACCAAAUAAAAUUUUAUUAAAUAUAUUUUAUAUUUAGUUAUUACAAAAUUAGUUUAGUUUUACGUUGAUGAAUUUCUUGAACUCAACCAAAUUAAUCUUGUUUCAGUUCACUGCAUAUGUAGAAGAAUAUAUAUCUAUAUAUAUAUACAUAUAUCAUACCUAAAAUAAAAUAAUUAUUUUUAUCCAAAAUUUAAUUAAACUUACACUCGAAACAAAAUAAAUAAACUUUGAAUAGACUUUGGAUAUGUUAUCUUCAGUAUGAAACCAAUUGUCUGAACCAAAUUUAAAUUGUUUUCACAUAAAACAUUUUACUAGAAGAAAAUAUUUAAGAGCUAUGUCUUUGGUUAGAUUAGAAUCGACAUAUUUCGUUUUCAAGAUUGUUUAGUGGUAGUUUGUUGUUUUGCGUCAAGUUUUUUUUAAUGUUUUCUUUUCCUAUUUUUGUCGGGUUCAUCUCUUGCUUUUGGACCGGUCAAUCUAUAACUUUUCACCUUUAUAAUAAUAGGUAAAGCGGUUGUGUGACUCUUUCAUUUUCCUCUACUCAAGUUUAAGACUAAAUCUGGUCAAAUUUUUAUUAGACUAGUUAUGAUGGUUUGUUAUAAACCAUUUCACAACUGUUGAAAAAAUUAUUUCCACUACAAUGGUUUAUUGUAAUCGAAAAGUAAGUGAGAUGGCAAAUUUAUCAACACUCAUGAGAGUAGAAGAAAGAAGAUAAGUGUGACAAGUGUUAUAUUUUGAUUGGUUGCUUUUUUUUUUUGGACAAAAGCUUGUUUUUAUUCAAUUAAGAGAGAAACAAGUACAAAGGAACAAGGAUUCUAAGAUCCCAAAGUUUAAAGGACAACAAAGGUAGGCAUUCCCAACACCAUAAGAAGAAAAGCUAACACACAAAUAAGGUACAUCAACAAUGGUUCCAUGAGAGCUAUAAUCCAAACACUUGAAGGGAAUUUGUUACUUUUAAGAUCAAGGAUUGUUGACAAAUCUUCCACGAACAAAGUAGUGGAUGAGAGUAUGGUUACUGUCAAAAGACUUAGUAACGUUAACAAGGGCGCCAAAGACAUGAAUCUCGUCGGGACGAGAAGUACUACACCAAGUAGUGCUUUUGCAAAGGUUCGAACAAGGUUUUGGUAAAGGAAGGAGGAUCGUCGAGGCUUAGAAAGAUUGAUGCGAGACCGUAACAGAACAGGUGGGUCCUCUCUCCCAAGAAGACCAAGGAGAUUAAGGAAUUCCACACAAAGCUUGUAGUCGGUUUGCCACAUGAAGAAAAGGCCAGACAUGAGGAAAUUGAGUAGAUAUCACUUUGAGGCACUAGUCAAUAGGGAGGGAUCUCUCACAAGAGAAUUGAGAAGUUCAUGUUGAAGCUUGAUCCAAACCCGGGGAGUAAUGGUGAAUGGGAGGUUCUUGAAGUUGGUCGAUAUAGUUGUCAGUAUGAAAUACUUUGAUAGAGAGUUUUGGUGACUAGCGUCACAUCUCCGACAGAUUGGACUAAGAAACACUAGACCAUGAAUCUUCAAAACGGAAUCAUAAAACAUUGCCCUAGCUAAACCUAGCACCAAGGUUCUCAGAUAAUAUUUGUAGGAGCAUAUCAACGAGGGUGAUUCGUCAUUCAAGUGGUGUCCCUAACCCCUCAAAAUAAAGAAACGAUGUCUACAUUGGGAUAGACUCGGCAAAUUGCAGAUGGAGGAAUACCUGGAUUUUUGUGAUAAUAGGUUUGGGUCGCAAUUUAUGGGCUUGGGCCGCGAGGGAAAUGGGCCAACAUUGGAGACAGGGCCCAUCAAAGAAAACCCUCGAUUCCAGAUUGUUGGGCAAGGAGCGUUGGGAGUGCGGCGGCUACGGUAGAGAGGUACGAAUUGCACAAUUGAAGCAGACGUCUCUGAUGUAAAUAGAGUUAGGGUGAACAAGCUGCAUGACGGGUCCGGCGCUGAGGCUAUAACAACGGCUAAUGGUUUGGCAAAAGAACGUCGGAGAAGCCUUAGGGAGCCGAAAGGUCCCGCAGAUCUAGUAACGAUGAGGAGGCGGAGACAAGGCUCAGGUUGGAAGGAUUGGUCGCCUAUGAAAUUGAAAGCUUCACAAACUGUUUUCUUUGAUUCGCAAGGUUUGGACAGAGAGUGUAGCUUGCUCGGAGGCCACAUUUUGCCUAUGUCGGAGAAUACUGCUUCAAAGAAGAUUCAACAGCAAAGAAGAACUCGAUAGAUUUGGAUUAAAAGGUUUGCAACAGAAGAAAACUAAAUUACAACGAAGAAGUAGAUGAAAGAUUGAGGAAAUAGCUCGAGAGAUGAGAGGGAGGUUCCGAUGCCGGCGAGCAUUUGCUCCACCGACGUCGGAAAGAUGAAGGGAGAUAGUUUCCUCGAUAUUAGUGUCUAUUAGCUCCACCGACGUUGAAAAGAUGAAGGGAGAUAGUUUCCUCGAUAUUAGUGUCUGGGAGAGAAACUCUUUAAAAUCUUAGUCUCGCAAAAAAUUUGAUUGGUUGCUUUGAUUUCUAUAUUUUUUUUCUUAAUUACAUAACUUUAAUUAUUUCAUAAUAUUUAUAAAUAAACAUAUCAAAAUUUACAAUUUUUCAUUCUCUAUAAAUAAACACUAUCUUCAUUUGAUUUGGACAAAACAAAAAUAAUCUUUCUUUAGAAAAAAAAAAGUUUAGUCUCCAAUAAACUUUUGUUUUAGCUUUAAAUAUACUUUUAUCUAAAUGGAUCCAAACAAUAACCUUUCAACACCCAAAACUUUUCUAAUUACUUUUAAACUAUCCAAAUCCCAACAAUUAUUAGUUGCAGGUGUGUCAGAAGGACAUUGAACGAGCAUUUGGAGUGUUGCAGGCUCUAUUUAAAAUUAUUCGCGAACCAGCUCGACUGUGGGACAUAGCCGAUUUGACUAUCAUCAUGAGGUCGUGUAUCAUAUUGCAUAAUAUGAUUGUUGAUGAUGAACGACAGACGUAUACUCAACAUUGGACUGAUUAUGAUCAAUCUAAGGCAAGUGGGCCGAGUACAUAACAACCAUUCUCGACCAAAGUGCUACUUGUAUUUGCAAAUCAUCUGCGUGGUAGAUCCAAGUUGCGUGAUUCAAAUGUACACCGCAAAUUGCAAGCAAAUCUAGUCAAACAUAUAUGGGCACAAUUUGGAAUUUUCCAUGGUGAAUGAGAUUUUUAAGUUUGUGAGUUGAGAUUAAUAUACUAAUUAAGUUACAAAUGUUUCCUUACUUGUUGUGUGCGUAUUGUAUUGCAUUUUAAAUCUAUGUUCAUUGUAUGUGUUUUAGUAAUGAUUAUUUUUAUUUCUAGUUUUUAUUAUUUAUAAAGUUUUUUUAAAAAAUAUAUACAAAUAUUAAAACAAAAACUAUUUUAUAAAAUUUAUUUAAUAUUUAAUUAUUUAAAUUUAAUUUAAUAUUAACGGUGAUUAAUAAUAUUUAAUCACAAAAAACAUAAACAUAAAUAAAAUGAAAAAUAUAAAAUAAAAAUUGUGGGAUAAGGUGUUGUAAUUUUAUCAAACAAAACUAUUGUAGAGGGAAAAAAUUAUGUAGGUGUGGAAUAACGAUGUGGAAGAGAGAGAAAACGAUGUGAAGUGUUAAAAGGGAAAAAAAGGGUGUUGUAAAUGGGUAACCAUUGUAGAUAGUCUUAGGAAGUGAAUGGUGACUUUAAGAUUUGCAGAUUUCGAAAGAAAAAGAAAAAAAUGCACUAAUGUCACCAAUCAGACAUAUGUGUGUAAUUUGUUUUUUUUUACAGAUAAUUUGGCACACACAUUUCAAAGCAUGUUAAUACACUAGGGAUAAAAGAAACACACUCUACUAUCGUCCAAGGGAUAUUUGGCAGCGCUUAACUAAAAACUUGCAUUACACAGUAAGUAAUAAAUCAAUUAUUUAAUUAAUAAUAAAAUGUACCUAUAAAUCAGAUCAUGUACUCUAAAACUAUUCACACAUUACAACCAAAAACAACAUCCUCUCAUAUUUCGCUCCAAUCCAAAAGAAAAAAAAAACAAUCUCCCACCCUUUCGUCAUAUAUUACAACAUUUAAAUGUAAAUUACUUUUACUAUACUAGUAUAAUAAUUACUUAUAACAAAAUAUUUCUAUGUAAUUAAGGUCUCUUUAUAAAUAAAUAGGACUGAAAUUAAGUAUAUAAAAUUGUUCAAAAUUUAGUAAAUCAUAAAAUGUUAUAUUUAUGUACAUAUUUAUAUGACUAUGUUUUAUUUUUAUAUUCAUAACAUCAGUAUUAAAUUUUAAUCAAAUCAUAGAAAUUUUUAAAUAUGUAUAAUAAAUGGUUGUGAUAGUAUUUACUAAUCAAGAUGUAUAUAUAUUUAUUAAAAAGAGAAAGGAAAAUUUUGAAGAUAUACAAAAUUACUAUUUUUUUAAAUUAUAGUUUAGUAUAUUUAUAUUAGAUGGUAAUAUGAUAUUAUGAAUUUUUUCAAAACUUAAUUAAAUCAAUUAAUUUAAUCAUAUCAAAAGUUACUUAAAUCAAUUCAUUUCCAUCAUUAUUAAAUUUUAAACAAAUCAUAGAAAAUUAAAAUAUGAAAAGAAAUGGUUGUGAUAGUACAAUAAAGUGAUUCCGAGUUCCCUUUGCCUCCGUCGGAGAAGUAUUAUCUAGUUGAUUAUGACUACCCAAACAAAUAAGGAUUUCUAGUUCCUUAUAGAUCGUCAGGAAAUCGAGUUGUGAGAUAUCAUAUGUCUCAAUUUUAUUUUGGUCCUCCUCCUAGAAACAAACAUGAACUAUUUAAUAUGUCAUGCAUCUUUACGUUCUGUUAUCGAGAGAACUUUUAGAGUUUCGGAAAAGAAAUGGAGGAAUCUUUUUCAUUUUCCUAGAUAUAAUAUUCAUAUUCAAAAAAGAGUGGUAAUGGUUAUAGUGUGAUUACAUAAUUUUAUCAGAAUUUCAAACUUCUCAGAUGUAGAUUUUCUUGAUGUAAUGACAGAGACAAAUAUAAACUACAGAGAUUAUGAUCAUCAUUUAGAUGACAUAGAAGCAACAGAGAUAACAAAUGGAGAACAUAUGAUGCCAAUAAAAGACAAUAUUGCAAAUAUGUUAUGGCAAAAUCAAAAUAAUAUAAAAUAUUUUUUAAUGUUUUUUAUGAUGAAAUUAGUUAAGGCAUGUAACAAUAUGUAUGUUACAAAAUUAAAUUUAUAUUUUGAUCAAUUUUUGUAUUAGUGGUUUAUAAAUAUCUGUUAUUGUUUAUUUAUUAACACAAAAAAUUAAUUAAUUAUUAAUAUAUAUAUAUAUAUAUAUAUAAUUUAUAAUUCGCACCGCAUGUAGUUUUUUCACCAAUCAAACAUUAUUUUGUACCGCUUAUUUUGAAUAAACCGUACUUAUCCCGCAAAUAUAUUUCUCCUACACGAACCGCAGUUUAACCGUACUACACUUCAAUAACGCUUUCCCCGCACUAUAAAAACCACGGUUACCAUUCGGACCCUUAGAGCUUGUUUAAAAAAUUGCUAGGCGUUAACCGGGCAUUCGGGGACUUAUCGAUAUUAGUUUUUAACAUUUUAAUAUUGAUAUAUACAUAUAAAUUAAAUAUCGGAAUAUAUGACAAUGGAAUUAAUUUGGUUGAGUGUCAUCUUUUUUUAUUUGGAAAUUGCACAAUCUAUACUCUGAGGAGUCGUUAUUUAGGUUCCCAAAAAAGCAACUGUUUGGCUGGUACUGUGGAUGUGGAAAUUGCGCAUGUAUGAAAAUAUAUUGUGUGAGACGGCUUCAUUAAAAUCUUAUUAGAUUAUUAUUGUUCUUCGCAUGUGGUUUUUGUUUUCUAUAUGUUUUUUAUUUAUUGAUUUAUGGGGAAACCAAUCAUCAUCAUCAUUUCCCUUCCAAUACGGAGAGCUUGGCAAUGCGAAAGAUUUGGAUGGCAAAUGUUUGGUAUAAAUUUUUCGACCCGUUAAUAUUAUAAUCUUGAUAUUAUUUUUGUUAACGUCAUUAAUCUUUUGCAGACGUAUGUGGAGCCUAUCAUUUUCCCUGACGUGGAGAUGAACCCGAAAGAAGAUUUAACCUGGUCUGACGAUGAGGAAGAUGUGAUGGGUUGAUAAUAUCGUCAUGUUAGUUGGUAAAGGGAUUACUUUUCAGCUCCCUCCAUUCUGAUUUGCCAACUCCUACAAAUGCUAAGGUUAGUUAACUGAUAUUUAUUUUAUAAUCGUUGUGUUUAGUAGUUUAGCAACUAAGUAUUAUAUGUGAGUAGCUAUAUUUUUUCUUUAUUUUUGUAGCUUUUUUGCCUCUGUUUCAGAGUUUUCAAUUAUCUCCAAGAUGUUGCAGGUAAACAAAUCUGUUGAGGUCCUUGAUCAUCGAGAUGAAGAACCGGUUUAUUUAUUUACACUCCAUUUUUGUUUAACUUUACUGUACAUUUUUGUUAACCCCCUCCAUAUUUUAUUAGCCGGUAAGAUUGUUAUCAUUCAUUUUCUUUUUAAUUAUUUUAUUCUGUCUUGCAGACCAAAAUCAAUCCUUCAAAAUUAACCACUACAGUCGAGGAAGAAAAGGAUUCUAAGGAGGUUAGAUAAUUCUUCCUUGUUUUUAACUUUCAUUUGGUUAAAUCCUUAACCGGUGAUAUAUUGCAUGUUUCAAUUUUAGGAUUUUACCACUCCACCCCUGUCAACCCAGUCUCGCUCUAACGUGAAGGUUAUCUUCUAACUAUGAUGUUAUCGCUUAUUGUUUAUAUUCAUCUUCCACGUUUGUAGGAUGUGGUGUGCCCUGCAAGUGUGUAUGCGGAUUAGCUGUUAAAAAAAAUAUUUCCAAGACGCAAGAAAAUUCGGGCUGCCCCUUCUUCCGCUGUGUAAGCAAAAGAGACGUGAGUUAUUUCCUCUCUAAAAACGAUGUUAUUAGCUUUUCUGGUAGCUACACGUUUUGCUAGUUAACCUAUCAUUCUUUUUGUAGGGACAUUUGUUUAAGUGGGUUGAGGAUGUUGUAUAUGAAGAAGUGGAAGAUGCAUUGGUUAGACUUGUAUCGAUUUAAAAUGAGGUAAAUGAUUAAAAGCGCAGGUCAUCCAGUUUUGUGUUGCUAUAAAAGAGUUGAAGGCAGAUUCAGUGUCCGACCAGUUGGUGAUGCUUAUGUUGAAAGUGGGCUUGCUUUUCAGAUUUGUCUUCUCUCUUUUUGUAGCUUUUGUUAUCGCAACACUUCUUAAAAUAGUCGAUAUUAAGUUCAUUAGUAGUUUUUAAUGUCUAUCUUUGUAAUGUUUCAUAGUUUCUAUAAUUCCCUAUGUUUAAGAUAUUAUAUUUGUUAGUCGUUAACCAUGUAAUAUAUACCUUGUAUCAAUCUUCUGUCUAUAUAAUAUUUUAUAACUUCUCAUUUAUUUCUUUAUUUUUGUACCAUUUGCACAUUCUUUAGGCGAUAUUUAUAACCAUUUUAAAACUUAUCUUUUAUUUUAAUUUUUUGGUAGCAUUUUCACAUUUAUUAAGCGAUAAUCUAAUUCUUAGCCAUCCAGCUGUGGUCCUAUCUUCUUAUUUUAGGACGCUAGUUAUCUUUUUUCUUAGUAUUGCAAAUUUUAAGAAGAGGGUCUAUAUCUUGGUACAUAUUUUGUUACAGAAUAUCAUUCAACAUAAACAUAUAUUUAACAUUCAGAAGGAAGGUUUGUUGGGAUCGUCCCUGAUUGCAGAUAAUACACAUUUUUUGGAUCAGUAAUUGUACGUAUAUACAUUGAAAAUUUUCUGAUCUCCGAAUUCUUGUUAUUUAUAAAACAUGACUUCUCGCGAGUCUUCUAAGCACGGAACCAUCCGUUCAAACCCUCCCAUAGUCCAAAAAAACAGUCCUCUCCUUCCAUCUUCAUCCGCAAAAAAAAAAUUUUCCUCGUCGCUUACUUGCCUCCAUGUACCACAUUAAUUUUUUGAUUAGCAGUCAUUUUUCUUUUUAAUCAGAUAACACCUACUUUAUCGACACUAGUUUCUUCAUACACCAUGGUAAAAGUUUUGUUAUCGGCUGCUUUUUCAAAAAAUGAUAAGGAGCUAUAUAUAUAGAUAGCAAACCAAAGAAAGUUGCCCUAACUACACACCUGAGACUUAAAUGCUCUAUGUUUCUAUCUUCUUUCAAUAUUUAUCGUUUGCAGUGGUUUAUAUGUUAGUUGUUUCAGUUCUUGUUGUUGCAGUAAUGUCGAUAUGGAGAUAAUAAAUAGGCAAACAUCUAUCUUCCAUAUCUGCACAAUCGAUUAUGUAUCAUAUGUAAUCAUUACUUUUUACAUUUUUUUAUUAGUUUGACCAGGGGGCGCAAUAUCUUCGAAGAUUACAGAGCAUUUAAUGCUCGUGAUCUUGCGGAAGGAGACUAGUGAUCCUCUGCUUGUAUAGGAACAAUUAUGUCAUAUUUAAUUUGCAAGAAAAUUUUCACCUAAAUAACGAAAUGAUAUGUAUAGAUCCUUAAUUAUUUUCUCCUGUAGGUAUAUAUAUUUCAUUCACUCUUUUUAGUUUAAUGAAAUAGUAAAUGACAAUAUUAUCCUCAUCUUAUUCUUUAGAUCUUAGCGACUGCAACCCUAAUUUUUGUCGUAUCGUUUUUCACAAUUCUUAUCAUUUUUUCUUACCCUUUAAUGAUUUAUACCCAAAUAUAAUAGAUCUACAACCUAAAGACCGAUUUAAAACUUGUAUUUCUUUUUAAAAAAUGAGUUUUUCUAAGAGUUUUCAAUUUUUUUUGGCGAUUUCAACAAAUCGAGGCGGUGGUGGUCUGAAGAGCGCUUAGUUGGACGAGUAAUCGGUUAGACGACCAAUUUUUAGAACAAGGGUCUUGACAAUCCACAAUGCAAGUGUUGAAUUAUUUAUUCAAUUGUUGAACCUUCACAUUGCACAUGUUGAAUAGUUUAAAAAAUCUUACGUGGAUUCAACUUGGUUGAAAGUAUUCAAUAUGUUAUAAAGAAAAAAUUUGGGCCCGCGCAUGCCACAUGUCAAUAAAUGAGUAAAGGAUGUGUUUCAAACUCGGAGAAAGGAGAGCGUAUUGUCCAAACCUUUUUCUUUUUACUUUUAUUUUUUUUUGCAAAAAGAAGAGAUUAUUGAGAUGCUCACACUUGCUAUAUUUUCAUUAGAUAUUAAGAUUUUGGAGAUUUUAUUUCUAUCUUAUUUAUUUACAAUCAAUUAUUACAUACCAAACAAUUUUUUUUUAAAAACUUAUAUUUAUAUGAAAAUUUAUAAAUUUUUAAACUCUAGAAAUAGAGACUUAGUUCAUUUUAUUUGGACACAUAAAAAAUAUUAUUUCUACCAUAAUUUUCUUAUUCUUCUCCCAUAAACUCUUGGUUAUAUCCUUUUUUUUUAUGGAUUCUAAUAAAAUCCCUAUGCAAAAUUAUACUAAUUUUUCCUUUCCCUAUCCUAAUUCCAACAAUAAUCCUACGCAAAAUUCGACUAAUUACGUUUUUCCUUAUCAAAAUCCCAACAAUUAUCAAUUUCAAAAUCUAUCUUUCAACCAACCUCAAAAUUUCCCAAAUUAUGAUUUUCUACCAAAUUUUUCUAUGCUCUCAUCUGUUCCAAACUAUAAUUCAUAUUAUAGAUCGAUUCCAAAUUCAUCUCAACCACCUCUUUAUGAUUUGAGGUUGUGAUUUUCAUUGACAUCAAAAAGAAAAAAAAAAAAAAUAUCACAGAAAGGAGACAAUGAAUAUGAUUAAUAUUUAAUUGGUAAACUAUUAGAUUAGGCGGGGGUUUUCUCAAAAAUUGUCUCUUUUGUAGGACUGUUGUCACCAAUAUUUUCAGUAUCUUUUACUUUUAUUAAUUUUUAAUAAAAUUUAUGAUAAUAAAAAAAAUGAAAAUAAUCGUAAAUAAAAGAAAAAAAGAGAGUUGUGGGUUCUUUCUUUUUAGUUACCCACGCAUCGCUGUCGAAAGAUUAAUUAUGAAAUCAGAUGUUUGGUUGAGUAUAAUAGUAAUGCAUGUCAUUAGUUUAAAUUUAUAAUAUUAAACAAAAUUAUAAAUAAGAUAUUUGAACAAAACAAAAUUAAGUUAGUUUAAACGUUAAUUGGAAACCAAAUAAGAGAUCUGUUAGGAAAAAAGAAAAUAUAUACCAAAUAAGAGAUACAGGAAAUCAGAAAUUUUAAUAUUAUGUGUUUGAAUCUUCUCACCAAAAAAAAUUAUGUGUUUGAAUCUUCUCACCAAAAAAAAUUAUGUGUUUGAAUCUAAUUGAUUAAUGGACACGGUCUAGUAAAUUAUAAUUUUUUUGACCCGCGAAAUAUAGUGAAACAGAGUUUAUCUCUAUACAACAAGACAAAAAAGAAGUUCUAAGAUCAAACUCUGUUUGAUAUACAAAAAUUAUAUUGUAAAUGAAAAUGGAACUUUGAGAUUGAUCUACAACAAGUCUGCUACACUCAUCACAAACGUAAUGUGAUUAUACACAUCCACGUUGGCCGCAAAAACUAAGGAUCUUGUAUCAUCUGGAUCAACAGACAAAAUCAUAUUGCAAUAGUCAGCAGCAUCACGUGCGAGACUAAGGUCGUCAUCAGUCUCAUCAACAUCACCAUUGCCCAUUGACCGCUGUGCCUUCAUUAGCCCCUCGACAACAGAAUCUUUAUAGUUCUCCAUACAACUCUUGAAACAUGGCUUCUUAGGAGAACCAAUGAGAAACUGUGUGUGCUCUGCCUUCUCCAUGGCUAGAGAAAGAGCCGCCUUAGCCAACUCUAAUACAGUCGAUGCGGAUUUCGUGCGAUGAUCUAACGUUAGGGAUUUGAUACAUUCUUCUUCUAGGGACGAGAAUGACGCGGUGCCUUUACAAGCCUUUGAUAUCAGUAAUGAUGGAUAUGGACAUGUCUUUGGUUUGGUUGAUAAAUGGGUAGCAAUGUUGGAUUUUGCAUUGGUAUAUGGCCACCGCGAGAGGAGAAGGAAGGUUAGGAUAUGGAUUGAUAGGUAUGCAUGAGAAGCAUAUAAACAAACCAUCGUUUUAUAUGUUCAACAAAGCUUGUUCUUUGACUAUAGGUUUAAAUGAAAUAGUAGAUUGAAGUUUGUACAUAUAUUAACUUUUGUUGUGUCAAUGGUUUAAAUUGUCCAUUGUUUAGUUCCACAAGUUUUAAACAUGAUAUGUUAUUUAUAGGUUUGGAAUGAACGAUAGAGGAAAAAUAAACUUGUCAACGCUAAUAAUAAAAGAGUGUAUCGAAAAAGAGAGAAAAAAACAAAAAUUCAUUGUGAUUCUUUUGUUAUUUUGUUUUUCAAUGAUUCAAUUCAAUGUCUUAAUUUCUCUCCUAACAUAAAAGUUAGUUAUGGGCAUUCGGUUAUCCAGUUUCGGUUCGUUUCCAUUCCGUUAUCGUUCUUUCGGUUCUAGAGUUUAGUAUCCAUUCAGUUAUUUUGAUAUUUCGGUUCGUUUCAGUUCUUACAGUUCUAAAAUUUAAUAUACAUUCGGUUAUUUUGCUUUGAGUAUUUUUGGAUAUUUCUGUUAUUUUUAUAUUUUUGAGUAUUUUUACUAUUUAUAUAUACUUUUUAGUAUUUUUAAUUAUUUAGUCUAGAAAUGACUAGUAUUUUUGAAAAUAUAAUUAUAUUUCGGAUACUUUUGGUUAUCCAAAAUAUUUCAGUUUGUAUCCACUCGAUUUCGGUUCUUUUGGUUAUAGAAUUUUAAUAUCCGUUAGGUUAUUUUCAAAUUUUCGGUUUUGCUCCGUUUUUUUACAUCGGUUGCGGUUCGGUACAUUAGGUUCGUUUUAUAUGCCCAAGCCUAAUAAAAAUCAUGUUCAUUUUGGUAUUUAUAGCUUUAGUAGACACAUGUUUAGUAAAACAAAUUCUCAAACAAGAAGAUUUAUGGAAUACCUUGUAAGACUACUUAGACUAGUUACAAUGGUUUGGUGGUGAAAAAAACAUUUCCACUACGAUGGUGUGCUGUAAUCAAAGCUAGGUGAUGUGGCAAAUUUAGUAUUGAUAAAUAUCAAUACCCGUGAAAGUAGAACAGAGAAGAUAAGUGUGACAAGUGUUAUAUUUUGAUUGGUUGCUUUGAUUUUUAUUUUUUUUGUUUCAUCUCAACUAUAUAACUUCAAUUAUUUUAUAAUAUUUGUACAUAAAAAUAUCAAAAUUUAUAUCAAAAUUUCUAAUUUUACAUUCUCUAUAAAUAGAGACUAUUUUCAUUUGAUUUGGAUACAGAAAAAAAAACUAUUUUUAGACCCAAAAAAGGUAUAAUCGCCAAAAAAAAAACUUUUGUUUUACCUUUAAAUAUCUUUUUAUCUAAGUGGAUCCAAACAAUAACCCUUUCAACACCCAAAACUCUUCUAAUUACCCUUUUAACUAUGCAAAUCCCAACAAUUAUCAGUUUCAAAAUCAAUCUCCUAACCAACCCCAACAAUUAUCAGUUUCAAAAUCAAUCUCCUAACCAACCCCAACAUAUAUCAAAUUAUGGUUAUCCACUAAAUUUCUUCAUGCCGUAAGCUGUUCCAAACUAUCGUCCAUUUCAUGGAUCGAUGAUGUCUUAUCCAUCUUAAACACCUCCUUAUUUUCCUACUCCAACAGGUAAUGAAACUGAUUCGAAUCUUGGAGCAACUGAUUUUCCCGAGUUUUCUACCCAAAUGGCUCUUGGUGGUAUUAGGGUAUUCAUGAAGCCAUUCCAGAUGCAAAGGAUUCAACUCCUUCUCGUCGGAGAAGUCCCAAAUGGACCACUGAUCAAAAUUUGGUUCUCCUGAGUGGGUGGAUUAAAUUUGGAAGAGACAGUAUUAUUGGCAAAAACUAAAAAUGUGAGUCAACUGGGGUAAAAUUGCUGAAUAUUGUAAUGAACAUUGCUCAUUUGAUCCUCCCCGUGAUGGAGAAGCAUUCAGAAAUCACUAUAAUUAUGUGAACAAAAGCGUGAACAAAUGGGCUGGCGCUUAUGAUAACGCUAAAUGUAUGCAACAAAGCGGGUGGUUGGAGGAUGAUGUAUUGGUAAAAGCGCAUGAAUUAUAUUCAAGUGCUGGUAAAAGAAGUUUCAAAUAGGAGGAAAUACUUAUUCUGGAAGCAGUGGAUCUAAAAGAGCCCACGAGAGUGAUGCUAGUGACUCAAACUCUGUAGGAUCUAGUGCUCGUCCAAUGGAAAGAGAUGCUGCUAAGAAAAAGCUAAAAAAAAAGGUAAAGGCGCAGCGUUGAAAGUGGUCAACGAAGAGUCGAACGAAUUUUAACAAUUCAAGGCACAAGAGUUGGAUAGGUUGGAGAAAAUAACUAUGAUGCACAGUGAAACAAACCAAUUGAUUAAGGAAAAGACUCAUGCUAAAAAGAUGAAGAUGUUUAUAGAGCUAACUGAAAAAGAGAAUCUCGAUGACAAGAGCAAAAAGCUAUUGCAACAAUUGAGCCACGAUCUAUUUGGAAAUUAAUUAUUGUCAAGUGGUUAUCUGUAUUUUGUCACUUCAUGCUUUAACGUGUGUUUGUCACUUUCUCCUUUAAUAAUUUGUAUUGUCAUGUUAUGCUUUAAUAAUGUGUGUUUGUCACUUUCUCCGUAAUUUGUAUUGUCUUCUAUGCUUUUUUUUUUUGUGCGAAAUAUUGUCUUAUAUGCUUUAUUAAUAUUAUCCAUGAUUUUAAAUAGAGAAUCUUAUCUUAUCCAUGACUUUUGGUUUGAAGCACUCAAUUCGAAUCCAAGGCACCAACAAUUUAAUUCGUUGUUUCCAUUUUUUUUAUAAAUUAGAACUCAUUCUUCCAUUGAUGUACAAACCAUAAAUCUUACCUUACUAAAAAUCUCAAUGGAUCCAUCAGAAUAUCCUUUUGACAUCAAAGCUUACAAGAGGCAGUCUGAAAUUGAAGAGAUGUAUAUCAUCAAUCGGUUUAGGGAGCGUCGAAACAAAAUAGGGGAAGACUAUCCACCUCGUAGCAAGAGAAAAUACUUUAAAAGAGACCAUGCAUCAGCAAAAUUAAAGAAUAUUGACGACUACUUUGCCAAUGAACCUAUAUAUGACGAUGCAAUGUUUCGUCGGUGAUUCCGGAUGAGAAAACAUAUUUUCUUUCGGAUCGUUGAAGACUUAUCAAACAGCGACAACUAUUUCACCCAACGAUAUGACGCAGCCAAGAAAGAAGGUAUAUCUCCAUUACCAAAAUAUACUACGACCAUGCGAAUGUUUGCAUAUGGUGUGGCAGCUGACGCGGUGGAUGAAUACAGUAAAAUUGGAGGUACUACUACUUUAGAGUGCUUGCGAAGAUUCUGUAAAGGAAUCAUAAAGCUGUAUGAGACAGAGUAUCUCAGAGCCCCAACUCAAGAUGACCUCCAAAGAAUUUUACGUGUUAGUGAGAUGCGAGGGUUUCCCGGGAUUAUUGGGAGUAUUAAUUGCAUGCAGUGGGAAUGGAAAACUUGUCCUACAGUGUGGGAAGGUCAAUUUACUCGAGGAGAUAAGGGAACCACCACUGUUAUUUCUGAAGCAGUUGCAUCUCAUGAUCUAUGGAUCUGGCAUGUUUUUUUGGAUGUCCGGGCACACUAAACGAUAUAAAUAUCCGUUCACCGGUGUUCGAUGAUGUUGAACAAGGAAAUACUACAAGAGUGAAUUUUUUUGUGAGCCAACAUCCGUAUAAUAUCGCUUACUAUCUAGCUGAUGGUAUUUAUCCUUCUUAUCCUACUUUCGUCAAAUCGAUUAGGCUACCUCAAAGUGAACCAGACAAGUUAUUUGUACAACGUCAAGAGGCGUGUCAUAAGGACAUCGAACGUGCAUUUGGAGUGCUGCAAGCUCGAUUUAAAAUCAUUCGUAAACCAGCUGGCCUGUGGGACAUAUUCGAGUUGGCUAUCAUCAUGAGAUCGUGUAUCAUAUUGCAUAAUAUGAUUGUUGAGGAUGAACGAGAGACAUAUGCUCAACACUGGACGGAUUAUGAUCAAUUUGAGGCAAGUGGGUCGAGUACACAACAACCAUUCUCGACCCAAGUGCUACUCCUAUUUGCAAAUCAUGUGCGUGAUAGAUCCAAAUUGCGUGAUUCAAAUGUACAUCACGAAUUGCAAGCAUAUCUAGUCAAACACAUAUGGGCACAAUUUAGAAUGUUCUUGUUGUCUGCUUAUUGUAUUUUUGUAUUUUAAAUUUGUGUUCAUUGUAUGUGUUUUAGUAAUAAUAAUUUUUUCUUCUCGUUUUAAUUAUUUGUAAAAGUUUUUAAAAAUAUUAUAUAAAAUAAAAACAAAUAUAAACACAACAAUACUUUAUAAAACUAUUUAAUGUUUAAUUCUUUUAAAUUUAAUUUGAUAUUAACGAUGGUUAAUAAUAUGUAAUCACAAAAAACAUAAACAUAAAUAAAAUGAAAAAUAUGGAAUAAAAAUGGUGGGGUAAGAUGUUGUAAUUUUACUAAACAAAAACUAUUGUAAAGAUAAAAAUUGGGUAGGUGUUGAAUAAUGAUGUGGAAGAAAGAGAAGAUGAUGUGGAGUGUUAAAAGUAAAAAAGUGGGUGUUGUAAAUGAGUAACCAUUGUGGAUAGUCUAAGGAUAAAAAUUGUAUAGGUGUUGAAUAAUGAUGUGGAAGAAAGAGGAGAUGAUGUGGAGUGUUAAAAGUAAAAAAGUGGGUGUUGUAAAUUAGUAACCAUUGUGGAUAGUCUUACAAUGGACACGUUGAAAAAAAUAUUUGAAUAUGGUGCAAUGGUUGUUUUAAUAAAUGUUGUAGAGGAUGUGGCAAAUUUGGUGAGUAGGGAAAAAUAUCGUUUAAUAUUCCAACUUUCAAAUUAUGGCCAUUUUAUACCUCAACUUUAUAUGUGACCAUUUUAAAUAUGAAGAUAUCGUUGACCAACCGUUUAAACCAUAAACAUUAGUUGACCAGGCUAAAAAAACUAACCGUUAUCACUCGUUAACAGAUUAUCUAACGUCCGUUAACAUCUCCAUUAGCUACCCCUAAACGACGUCGUUUUCAUAUUUUAAAAAUAAAUAACGAACGUAGGAUUCAAACUUGUAACCUAGAGAAAAACUAGAGACUUACUUAACACCCUCACCAACAGUAUUUUAUUGGUGAACUUUGAGAAACAUAUAUUUAUUAAAGUUUUCUCCUUCAACUUUAACCUACAAAACAAAACCAUCUCCAUAGCCGCCGCCUCCAAAUCCGUGUUCUCUCUCCAUUGAUUUUUUUAAUCUUAAUCAUAUAUUGUUUUUUGUUGAUUGAAAAAAAUUUGUAUUUGCUAAUUCAAUUCAUCUGGAACCUAUUUCUAUGAACACCAUUGAUGGAUUAGUCAAUUGAUAUGAAAUCAGUUACACAAACAGCACUAGUUCUUCGUCGUCUCACAUGCACCUUCGUUGUCUCACGUACACCUUGUGUAUAUGAUCUGUGAUUGCUCUUAAGCGGAUCUGAUGUAUUUAACGGCAUAAUAUAUAAUUAUGUGUUUCCGAAUAAUAAUUAUUAAACACUUUAUCUUAGUUGGUGUGGACAAGCAUAGGGAGCACUCGAAAGUUACGGGUUCGAAUCUUGAGUAAGUUAUUUCUUUUUAAAAUAUAAAAAUGACGUCGUUUAAGGGUAGCUAAUAGAUGUUAACGGACGUUAGAUAAUCUGUUAACGACUGAUAACAGAUAGUUUAUUUGGCCUGGUUAACGAAUGUUUAUGGUUUAAACGGUUGGUUAACGAUAUCUUCAUGUUUAAAAUGGCCACAUAUAAAAUUGUGGUAUAAAAUGGCCAUAAUUUGAAAGUUGGAGUAUUAAACGACAUUUUUCCUGUUGUAAUUUGUCAACACCGUGAAUUUUACUGGGUGGGGUUAUCUUUGUCUUGUGUUGUGUUUUCAUUGGUCACUAAAAUUUGACUUUUUCGUCCAAUAAUUUUUGAACUCAAUUAAAUUAUAAUAAACUUUUUUUUUUGUCAUCUGAUAAUUUAUUAAAGAAAAAAAUAAUAAAGUACAUAGUUAGAUCCAAAAGCCAAGUAGAACAGAAAGAGAAACAAAAUAAAAGAGAAACAACGAGAGAUACAAAAUGAAAUUUAAACUUUACUCUCCUCAAACACUUGAUUGUGAAACCAUGAAGGCUCUCCAAGUGCUAUGUAAGACUGAAACCUUCUUUCUUGAAUCACACUUCGAGAAAUGGAUCGCGCGAUCAGAUUUGCGUUUGUGGCAAUAUGACGGAAUGUACAAGAUUCAAAUGCACCAGCAAUCUCAUGGAUUUGUGCUAACCAAUUCCUGUAGAAAGGCCAUUUGGACGGCUGCAAAACGGCGUUAACUGCGGCUGGAUAUUCCAACUCUAUUAUCACCUUGGAGACGUGAAUAUCUUGAAAUGCUUUCAACGACCGUAGAAUGCAGCACAGCUCAGCCCCUGUUCGAUCUUGAAUUGGCGUAAACGCAUCUCGUGCAUGGUGUUUAGCUUGCCCUAUAUCUCUUACAAUUCAAGCUCCUCCACACAUCGAUUGUUUAUUUAUCCAAAAAGAAUUCAAAAUGCAUUUAAGAAUACCUUCUUGGGGUUUCCUCCAUUUGUUUCCAUCCAAAUUGGAGGUGAUUGCCGAGAGAAUACUGUUGAAGGCUACGUGUUCACCAUUUUCCAAUGCAUUGUGUCUUCAUACGCUUUUUGAACUAAAACAUGAAAAUUCCAUACCUUUACUUUGAAAACGGUAUGAUUACGAUUCUUCCAAAUUGCCCAUAGAACCCAUGGAAUUGAUAGUCGAGUUUGCUUUGGUAUGUGCUUGUCUUCGAUAACAUUCAAUAGAUGAGAGAAGUUUGCUAGUAAGGUUGUUGAAGAAAAACCUUGAUCCGAAGCUUGCACAAAAUGCUGAGAUUAAUAUGCUUAAAAGGAGAAUAUGGAAUCUAAAAUCUGAGCCACAAAUCAAGCUUUUCUGUUGGCGUGCUCUUUCUGGUGCUUUGGCUGUGGCAGAACGUUUAAGCUCACAGGGAAUACAACAUGACACAAAGUGCCAAAUUUGUGGUAUAGCUACAAAAACAAUAUGUCAUACUCUAUUCUCUUGUGACGUAUAGAAUAAGAAAAUGAUGAAUUUUGGUGUAAAUUAUUUAUGUAUCUAAUAGUAGUUAUUAAAAAAACCAUUGUAGUAUAUGAAAGUAAACUGAAUGUUGAAUGAUGAUGUGUAAGAGAGAGAAGAUGAUGUGUAGGUUGUUGUAAUUUUAAACCAAUGUAAAUAGUCUAAUAAAAAAAUAUUUGGGUUCACCCCACUCUUGUUCACCCUCUCUUAAUAAGCCAAUCAAAAUACAACAAAAUGCCAUGUCGUUUAAUAUUUAACAAUUAAAAUAUUUGGGUUCACCUCUAGGGUGGUUAAAGUUUAGAUUUUAUAAAUAAUUGAAAAUAUAUUUUGGUUGAGUUUAUAAAAUAGUGGUUAGAGUUUAAAUUUUAUAAAUAAACAAAAUUAUAUUUCGGUUUGGAUUGAUAAAAUAGUGGUUAGGUUUAGAUUUUGUAAUUAAACGAAAUUAUAUUUCGGUUUGGGUUGAUAAAAUAGUGAUUAGGUGUUAGAUUUUGUGAUUAAACUAAAUUAUAUUUUGGUUUUGGUUGAUAAAAUAGUGGUUAAAGUUUAGAUUUUGUGAUUAAACGAAAUUAUAUUUUAGUUUGGGCUGAUAAAAUAGUGGCUAGACUUUAGAUUUUGUAAUUUAAUUAAUUUAUUUUUUCAAUAUAUGAUAUGUCAAAUUCUAAUUGGUCAUUAAAAAAUGGUGAACCCAAGAAUUGUUCUUGUAAUAAUUAAACUUCUUAGAACAACAAAAAUUUACAAUAAAUUUAUAAAAGGAACAAUUAAAAAAAAAAAAAGGAGCAAAAAGCAUGAUAAAAGCUGAGAGAGGAAACUUAAAAAGCACACUUGUUUCCAAAACUAAAUAGGGUCAGUCCCAAAAUUGGAUUUGUAUAGUAACAAAUGAAUAACGGAAAAGAGAGUUUCAAGAUCUACGAACAACAGCAGUAGCGAAAUAAGGAUGAUGGGUGAACUCAAACGAUACCUUAAGCGAACGGUCUUGACAGAAAAGGUUCACAGCAACAAUAUUGCGUUCCGCGACUUUCUCUAAUCCCGUGACUUCAGCCAGCUUAUCAGGAUCGUUGGCGUAACCGACCUUUAUGUCCUUAGCGAUCUUUUGAGCAUCGUGAAAGUACUCAUACAUAGGAAGAUACUGCAGCAAAAGUAAAUAGAUACAACUUUACUUGCAUGUUCAAAACUCUUUCUAAUCGAACAUAGUAGAUUUAUACGUGUACACAUUCAUCACUAAAACAUUGUAAACAUUACCUAUGUUAUUAUUUGCUCAAUGAAGAUUGGGAUCUCAAUUUUCAUGUGUUUAUAUUUAUUAAUCAAGUUAUUGCUUUUAAGCAAAUAGUUAACUAAUAAAUCCUACAUAGAUAUAUUUUAAAUAAACUGUGAAUCCUAAAUUUUUCCGUAUUUUCCGAAUUACCUGAACCGAACUCAAGAUUUUGCGAUUUAUGGUAUUAAAGCAGAUAGUGAUUGUAGGUACCCGGACUACCUUUACAGUACUCGAUUCCCUAUCACCCAACCAAUUUUUUUAAGUGUAUGCUUCGGGUAGUAGAUUUAGAUAUACCUGAAAUAACCAUAUCCAACCCUUACCAGCUAUUACCUGACUCUAUACCCUAAAUGCACAUGCCUACUUCUACAAUUCAUUUGACCAAGUAAACAGGAUUAAGCACAAAAACAAAGUUGAAUAAAGCACACUUACGUCGAGACGAGCAUGGGAUGUGGAUUUUGAGAACGAUUCAUAUGCGUCAUAUUCUGGAAGGGAUGCCUUCUGAAGGAGUUCAAAAUGCUGUAUAAAUUUCUGCAUGUCAAGGAAAAUGGGUAGUUGAAGUCAUACACAGGAAGGGAUAAAACCACUCACCCAUUACUAAGGCUGAGGAUUUUUAUCUUACACAUUAAUUCAAUAACUAUGCAACAGAUAAAGAGACUUAUGCUUACCUCAUUUUCGGUAUUAAAAGGUCCUUGACUCUUUAAAGACAUUCCUUCAUUUCUCAAAGCUGCAAUCAUCUACGGGUAAAUACACAAGGUUUGGUCAGGUUUAGAGUACUUGAUAUCAGCAAUAGAAGGAGCUGGAAACCAAGAGAUUGAAGACAAAAUUACCACUGUGAGGCCUUGUGCAAGACAGGUCUGACAUUUGAGAAACAAUACCCAUAGACUAAUCCGAUCUUCCCGAGCCAUGUCCCUAGAAUACUCCUUAUUCCUCUUUGCUUUUCUUUCCUCUGAUCCAGAUGAAGGUAAAUGCAUUAUAAAAAGCUACAAAUACACACUAUGCAGUUAUGCCAAACCAAUUACUGUACAGAUGGUUCAUCUCCGAAACACUAGGACACAAAAUAAAAACAAAUGGAUAUAUGAAUGCUUACCAGUGUUCACAACGAUUAAGACCCUGAAACGUGCUCUUUCGGCAAGCUUCCAGAGUAUAAUAUACAUGUACCAGUAUACCAUGCAAUAUUCACUUGGCGAGUAGAGGUCUAGGUCAAAUCCCAGCAUGAGAAAGCGAAUUGCCACCCAAUUAAUUUGCUCUUCUAAUCCACCAUAUAUAUGGUUUAAAAUGAGUAGAGACUUAUCCUGAAAGGUACAUAAAUGCAAGUUAACACAAAAUUCAAUAUCUGCUUAUCAAUAGAGCCAAAAUUUUCCGAAAGAGAAAACAGAAGUUGUAGGAAUUUUGACUACUGGUUUGUUCAUGCUAACAAUGAAUAGACAGCCGUCAACUAGAUUCAGAUAGAGGUUUGAUUAAAUGGACCCAUAGUGAUGGUAGUAAACCUACCCCAUUUUUCGAACUGCGUGAUGUAUCUUGCUGCAUCAUUUGACCAACAGCAAUCCCCAUCUGCCAAAUACAGGAAAAUGUAUGAAUGAGAUCUUGACACAAAAACCCAAAUCAAUAUGCAAACAAUUUUAGGGUAAGCGAGCUUACAUAUAGUUAAGUAAAGAAUAAUACAGUUCCAACAAAGGCACAAAUGGUAUAACCUGCACAUGGAAUACGCUCCAGUCAUUUAAGAUUUUCCCAAGCUUACGCCUCUGCCAUGGGGUAUUAGCGCAUAGUAUUUUAAGUAGAUUAACCAUCAACUGCACCACAAAAUGAGAAUAGAGAUCAAACAGAGAUUUCUAAGAAAGGAGCCAGUUGAAUAAUUAUCUAACUUUUUCAGGAUCCAGAGGCUACCAAAACCACAAAACAUAGACAAGGCAUUCUCAUCAAAGUCCCCAUUAAAACAAAUAAUUUUUUGUUGUUUCAAUCUUCUUGAUGAUUGCAAAUUAGUUACAUCCACACAUGCUGAAAUUCUCUGAGAUUGGGGCUUAUACGCCAGACACCGAAUAUUGAACAAAACCAAUGAAAGAUUAUUCUUUUCAAGGUUUUACCAAGUUCCAAACUCUUUUCAAGGAAGAAUAAAGAGCUACCUCAUACACGUUUGUAGAAAAAAAUGUACCCAACGUAUUCUUUUAAUAUACUGUGUUUACCUGAUUAAGUUGAAGAAUGUACUCAUUCGUAUGGAGGCCAUGGUUCUUGGAGACAUCUAAUGCAAGAGAUCUGGCGCAAAUUGUCAAAAAGGUAUCACGGCCGUAAAGUUUCCCAUCUUGCACAAGGAGAAGCUGUAGAACAAGAUUAUUUAUUGAGUAUAAAAGGUAAAAGCAUUUUGCUAGCUUAAUACAUAAUUUAUUCACAAAUAUUGCUAAUAUCAUAACAAAAAUGGACAACCAUAUCAAUGCUUAACAGAAAUUUACAAUCAGAAUCAACCUCAACUACAAAUAUUGGAUCUAUAUUCUUAUAAGUCUUCAUAAGAAAGAAAAAUGAGAGUGUCAGCCACUACAUAUUCCAGUGUCAUCAUAAAUAAUAUCUAGAUAACAAUAAUAGUAAAGAGUCAACAAGAAGAAUAAGCAGAGCAUUCAACAGGCCUGUUGGCGAAAUGGGGCUUGAGGUGGUUCACGAGAGUUGGAUAUUCUCUAGUCCAUUGGUUCUAAGUUUAUGCAACUGUUCUUACAGAAAUAAAGGAGAUUUCUACUAUAGUCAUAUGGCUGAAUCACUCAACUCUAAGUGACAAUGAAUUGAAAAUGAGUGCUAAUGAACACAAAACUGCAAAGCAAGGAAGCGGGUAAAAGAAGAAGCCAUAUUAUCCACUAUACAAACACACCCUAGUGGAUGUAUGCGAACAUCAGUGCAACUACAGCCAAAAUAGUUACUCAAAACAAGAAAACAAAAUGAUAAAUGGGUAUCUGAAAGCACAGAGCUGCAUGAUAUUGAUGCGUUAAGUUAAAGUAACGCACCUGAAGAUGAGCCCUAGCAACCAAAUCAGGACGAGAUUUUUGAAACUGAAUCACAAACUCCAAGACGGCCUCUAAAUCUGGUUCCAAUGAAAAUGCACAGAUCUUAUCCAGAUUGUGAAGAAGUUUCACAUAAUAGUCAAUAGCCUGGAGAAUCAAAAAUUGAAAAAAGUUACUAAAAAGUUAUAUACACACAAACUAAAUUACGUAUACAGAGAAUUUAGAAGUCCCAACCUUUUUCCAAGAAAGAAGUUUAAUGGCACGUGGCGGCGUUGGAGCUGAUAAUCUUUUGUUUAAAGUAGGAUCAAAUCCAAUGGGGGACCGACCAGAAGCAGUUGUACUUUCUUCUAUCUCGUUUACGCCAUUCUCGAAAAUAUCUAAUCUUAGAAAUUCUGCUGAAUCCAGAACAGAAUCUAGCUCUGAUAUGCAAUAGCCUAUAUGUUUCCUUGCCAAUUCGAGGCCACGUCCUUGUGGUCGUCUCAUACAAUUAAGAGCAUGUAGAAAAUGCUGAAAGUUAUUGAGGAUAUGUUAAAACAACUAGCAGUGCAAAAGUAUAUAACAGCUACUAUUUUUUUUUUUAAAAUGGCUUACGAAACAAAAUAAUAAUAACAUCAUGAAUCACAUGUCUGGCGAGAAUUUUUAACCAAAAAUAAGGGUAAACAGGUAAUAAAAGCUGCCAUAUACUCAAAAUUUAGUCUCUGCUAAGCUUGUUCAUUCUUGUAAGUUGCAUAACAUGGAAAAUUUAACACAAUAAAACAUAUAUUAACUUUGUCUACCACUCCCCAUUGUGAGGUUAGGUUGAAGAAAAGCAACUCAUCAUACUCUUGUUACGUGUAGUUUAUCAAAGAAAGAAUAAAUAAAGCAUGAGACCUUACGGAACACUGGAUAAAAGACCAAAUGCAAAUUUUAAGUACUAAUUGUAGUUUUUCUUUUUCAAAGCAAGCAAUAAAAAAUUCUAUUCAUCGAUGGCCACCAGAAUACUAAUAAAAGGAACAGACUUGGGACUAUAUUAUACACUAGUUAACAUGACUUAAGUUGGGAAAACCUGUAAUUAACAACAUUUAUCAAAGAAAGAAUAAAUAAAGCAUGAGACCUUACGGAAACGUAUCCGGCAUAACAGAGAUUUGCAAAAACUCUCUUCCAGAUGGGGAUUACUUUGUAGAGGUUCCAAUUCUGCAUCUUUAACAAACAAAAGGAAAGAAAGUUAUUGUUCUCAGUUCGUGCUGCUGUGCACCAUUGUUACAAAUAAACAAUAGACCAUAUCACUCAAAGAGAUGGUAAAUUUUUAAAAAGAAAAAAUCAAUUGUAAUAAUCAGCGGACUUCACAUAUAAAUCAUUACUCAAUAGAAGACUCAAAGUUAUCGUAUAUAGGCCAGAGAGGCUAAUUUCAAGUUGGUAUAUGCUUAGAGAGCACUUGCAAAAUAUCUAAUUCCAAUGCAUUAUACUGUCUCCAAAUCACAAAUCACCAUUAAAUGUGUAAACAACAUAUCAUAAGAAAAGAAGCAACAGAAGACUCUUCGAUCCCCUCAUAUGAAUACGCUCUUCAUAUUUCAAUUCUGCAAGUGUGUGUAUGUAAAAUAAAAAAGGAAGAUAUGCAAAGCAAAAAAAGUACCUUCCAACAUUCUCCUUCUUGUGGCCUUACAAGCACGCAGCUGACGACAGAUAGUUUCUUCAACCGCAUUCAAGAGUAACAAGCCCUUGGCAUCUUCUUCUCCACUAAAAGGAAGACCAUAUGUCAUCGUAAAAAGAUCCUCUUCCUGUUAAUGAGCAGGUAUCAGGUGAAUCAUUCAGAGUAAACUAUCCAUGAAGCAGGGGCAUCUGUCUAGUUAAGAGAAACUUCUAUCCAAAAUAUCACAACAAAUCUUCUCAAGUAUUUUAUCUUCAUUUAGCUGCAUAAUGGUGGAAAUUUCUACAGAAAUAAGUUAUACGCUCUGCUAAUCAUCUCAAGAUUAAAUAACAACUGCUUAGGCUAGAUGAGAACGGAUGCCAAGACUUCAUUAGAAGAGUAAAGUCAAGUGAAUCCAGUUUUCGUCUCUGAUGUCAUAAGCUUAAGGUUAAUGACAACUAUGAAAUGUCAAAAUGGGUUAGCAACUGUUUUUCUUUACGCCAUAAAAGAAUGUUGGACAUAGCAAAAGAUUUUAGGAGCAAACAUUGAACACAAACUAAACCUUUAAUGAAAAGCCAAAAAACAUACAGAAACAUUUGCUUAGCCCCACAAGAAUAAAAGAGGACCAAAAAUUGUAAAAGUUAAUUACUUCAUUUGUACGCGCAUCUGAAACAACAGAAACAACUGCCCUGCAAGUUGCUCGGAUGACCCUACAAUAAGAAUGUAAUAGAGCCUGUGAAGAUGUCCUCUCAGGCCUCAGAACAUAGAUGCAUGAAAACACAGUUUGGGCCAAUGAAUGACCCAUGUGCCAUGUUGCCUGCAAAAGAGUAGAGACACAAAAUGUGGAUAAAUCAACUCCAAGGCUGACAUGUUAGCUACAUACAUAUCUCUUUAUCACAAUUAUACCUUGCAAACUCACACAGUAUUAUAUGAGCACAUGUAAAGAAGAGAUUACCUCACACGCCAGGAGAUGGUCCAUAAUGUCAAUGAUGGAUUGCACAUUAACAGUACUAUCCGAACUUAUAGGGACGGGCGCAAAACCACUUUCGAUGGCUUCAUCUAUAGAAUAAAACGUAGACACCAUACCAGAAUCCAUCUUUGGGUCCAUUAUCUAGUACAAAGCAAGGACACCACACCAUGUUUGUUAUACACACUUAUAGCAACCUCACAAUCUAAGUUUACAGCUAAGAACAGUCCAAACAUAUUUUGUUACAAAAUAGAAACCUCUAAAGCAGACAUGGCAGCAAAAAGAUUGAAAUUAUCUCCAUUUAUGAGUUCACCUUCUUGAAGAUCUGCAAACAGAACGACUCAUGAAACUAAAACAAGUGGGGAAUACAAGCAAAAUAGGCAAUUGCGAUCAGUACCAGAGCAGGCGGCGGAGAGGAGAGGUGAUACAUCGGCCCAGACGGAGUUAUUAUCACCGGAAGGGAUAGAAGAAGAGGUUUUAGAGUCGUGAUGAAUCGGAGAAGACGAAUCUUCAUCUUCCCUAACUGAUUGCAUCGUUUGUUGUUGUUGUUGCUCAGGAAACUUGAAAAUCGCUUUAAUCUCUCGUAAUUGGUUUUUUUUGCUACUUAUGGUAUAAGUUUCGUCUUGCUCGAUGGAACACUUUGCCUGGGCUGUUUAGGGUAAUUUUCGGGUCGGAUCCUCAGCGGAUACCCAACCCCCAAUCACCCGAGCCUCCUGCCGUCUUUUUUUUAUAAAUCAACCUUUAAAACCAACAAAAAGAUUUUCAAAAUUUUAAAUCUAUAGUUUUAUGGGUGAAUUUGCGGUAUAAUCAAAAUCUAAUGUAAAAUAAAAAAUAUAAAAUCUUAUUGAAAAAUAUUAAGAAAGUAAUUAGAUUAGUGAAAAGAUAAAAUUGUAUAGUGAAAGACACGCACAAUAAAAAAAAAGAAGAGGUUUUGAAUGUUUUGUAGAUUUUGUAAGAGUUUUUGGUUUUUGUUUUUUAAAAACUUAUUUUUAUACCAAUUAAGAUUUUAAAAUUUUGGUUUCCCUACAAUUUAGUAAAUUUAUUUUAUUGUAGUUUUCCAUUCAUGAUUUUAGUUUUUUAGUUUUCCUAAAAUUUAGGAAAUCUAGUUUUUAUUCAAUCAACGUUAUUUUUCUCAAAAACCAAAAACCGAUUUUUUGGGGUUUUUAAAACAAAAAUAUAAUAACAAAAAUCUAAAACUAAAAUCUAAAAUCUAUAAACUAAAAUCUAAACUCAAAAACUGAAUCAAAAAUCAGCAUCCAUUCAGAGCUAGAGUAUAUGAUGAUAUAUGUAAAAAAGUAGAGAGAAUAAUAAAGAGGAAUUGCAAAACUAACACAUUUUUACUAAAAUAUUAAGAAUAUAACAUUAUAUAUGUAUCAGUUAACUAACUAACCUAAAUGGUAGAUUAAAUGAUCAUAGGUGGUGGUUUGGAUCCGGCGACGGCGGUGGCUCCGGCGGCGGCGGUGGCUCCGGCGACGGCAGUGGCUCCGGCGACGGCGGUGGCUCCGGCGACGGCGGUGGCUCCAGGGACAGCGAUGGCUCCGGUGACAGUUCUGGUGGUGGCUCCGGCGAUAGCGGUGGCUUCGGCGAUAAUUCCGACAAUAACAGUGUCUCCAGCGAUAGUUCCGGCGGUGGUUCCAGGGACGGUGGAGGCUCCGGUGACAAUGGGAACACCGACGAUGGGGUGGUUGCUCUGGUGAUGUCAUUCGUUCUCGUAACGGGGGUAGCUCCGACGGCGACGGUGGUGUUGAUGACGGUGGCUGUGGCGGCGGUAGUGGGUGUAGUGAUGAUUGUUGUGGUGGUGGUUAAUGGUGAUUAUUGUGAUGGCGAAAUUAUAAUAUAAUAUAUUAUACAGUUAUUAUAGUGUAAAUUUUUUCUAAUAGGCUAGUUUCUUAAUUUGUAAUUUUUUUUAAGUUAUACAUGCAAAUUCCCAAAAUACUAAUGACAUGGCUAAAUUAAUAUCACCCCAAAUAAUUUUGCUUGUUGAUUUAGUCUUAUAAAUUUUGCAAUAAUUUUAUAAGAACAUAGAUUUUUUUGAGUAUAACAUGAUUUAAAUUUUUAAAAUCUAAUACAAAUUAUUUAAAUUAGGGAACAAUGUUUGUCUAAACCACACAAAUAAAAUAGUAUAGAACAAAACGUAGAUAAUUCAAAAGGCCGAGUUAAACCGCUCUAAUAAAAAAAAUACUAUCCCUAUGAGAUACAAUAUUGGCAAUCCAAGUAACUAAGGUAAACUAUAGCGGUGAGCCGGUGACGUUGACGAUGGUAAUAGUGGUGGUGGCAACGAUGAUGGUAGUGGUGGCAGUGGCACUAAAAAUGACAUUGAUGGUGGUAAUAUUAAUUGUUAGUGGUGACAUGAUGAUGGUAGCGGCAAUGACGGUAGUGGCGGUGGGAUGGUAGUGUAGUAAUAAUUGUUACUUGUUAGUAAUGGUAAUUAUAAACUAGUUUUUUAUUUUAUUUUAUUUUAAUAUAAAAAUAUAUAUAGAAGAUGAGAUUACUAGCUAGAGAGAAAGGGAGAAAGAAAAAUCCACAUGUAUUGAUAAAUAAAUAACCAGAGCAAAAUACUAAUAAUUUACAAACUCCCAAAUAUUGUGUUAUAAAUAGGUUUAGUGUUUUCAAUGGGUUGCAAAUAAAAGAGUCAAAUAGGUAGAAGAGACCUUUGGGGAAACUAUAAAAUUUAGCAUUCGUGGUAGAUGAAGAAGGGAGAAUC
rnacentral:lncRNA from 1 species